CGAGCGCAGCAGCGAGCGCAGCAGCGGCGGCACCUGCAGCGCCGGGCUGGGGACGGAGCCCGGAGCCCGGAGCCCCGAGCCCGGAGGCGGCGGCGGCGGCGGCGGCGGCGGCGGGGACGUGGCCUGGGGCCUGCGUCCUGUCCGGCCCCCGCACGGCCGGCGGCAGAGCAGAAACCGUUCUCUUGGGACCAUUCAGAAGCAAAGAGACGCCAACGCUGUGACAUAUGCCGGUGCCACCGCCGCCACCACCUCCUCCUCUGCCUCCCCCUCCCCCACCGCUGGGGGCCCCUCCUCCUCCCCCACCACCAGCGCCCCCGGUAAGACCUGUUGUUUUUCAGUCUGGGUUACUGUUGAGCAUAAGCUGCUUUGGAUACACCUGAGCAGAAGGGUUUUAAAUGUUCAGAACCGGCCACCACCUAGCUCCCCAUCUUAGGAGCUGGCUCUGGGGGCUCCAGGGUCUGAUUCCAAGCCAGCCUGGCCAGGUAUUUCUCUCCCUAUUUCUCAGCAGCAUCUCAGUGUCCCAUACAAUCGUCUGCAUAAUUUCUCCUCUGAUUCCUGCUGCUCCAUACAGGCCUCCCGAGACUCCCUAACUGGCUCUCCCAUCUCACUGGAAACCUCAGAUGAGAGGCCAUGGGGACAAGUGCACAGUAGUGUGGGCCAUGCAGCAGAGUCAGCUUCCAGUGCCCACCUGGAUGGUGGUAACGUUGCUUGGGCUUCAGUGGCCUAGUUCUAGGCCCGCGUAAGAGAAGCGUCCUAUGAAAUGCCACAGUGAAACAUAAAUCCCAAAGGAAAUUUCCCUAUCUACACAAGCCAGAGUUCAUUCCAUUGCAGUUUGUAUUACUGGAUACUCUUUUUUGGUUUAAUAGUUUGGGUUUAGGAGAGGCACAGAGGGCAGUUGCUUUGUUUUAGAAGAGGGAUUUCUCAACCUUGGCACCACUGACAUUCAGGUCCAGAUCAUUUUUGUCAUGGAGGGCUGUUCUGUGCAUUGUAGGUUGUUUAGGAACAU
rnacentral:lncRNA from 12 species